CCAGCCUCCGCGCGGGCCACGCCCCCUCCGACGUCUCGGGCGGAGGAACGGGAGGUGGGGGCAGGACACAAAGCGCGAGAGCCGCUGUGGCCGCCGCCCCGCCCACCUCAGGGUCCCCCGCGGCGGGGGCUCACGUUCGGGAAGUCGGAGAGGAGCCCCGAGACCCUCAGCGGUCUCCUCUGCAAGGGCCCGCCCCCUCGCCCGGGGCCAGCCGAGUCCGCGCAAGGCCUCUUGGGAGUUGUAGUUUGUCCUCUGGAACGCUCCUUUUCCUUUAUCCCUCCCGGAAUCACAGUUUUGAUGGAGAGGUGUAGAGUUCCGCGUCUCCUCGCCAGAAUGAACAGCUUUGGAAUUGUUUUACUCAGCUUUCCUCUUUUGAGCACAGUUCGUGGGAUGGAAGGCCUAGAAUGACGGUGGGGGAAAAAAGCUAUGACUAAAAAAAUUUAAAAGGUGUUUUUCCGGUGCCGAUGGGCCCGGCCCGUGGAGGCAGAAGAUUGGAAGAGUCUUCUUUGGAGAAUGUGAUUAUCCUAUAAGGGAAGACCUAAAAGAUACUGAGACAUGAGUGUUCUCAACCAAUUCACCCCAUGGAAAGGUCAUAGUCAAGCCCAGCUUGUGCUCAGAAUAUCAAAUAAACUUUUAAUGCUCCACUAUUAAAAGGAAUAGACAACUAAUUACCAGCCAAAAAGAAAAUGCUCUGACACCUAAAACAAACAAAACAUCAGAGUAGAAGAAAAAGACUAUGCAGAGAAGAAAACUUAAAAAAAGAAAUUAUAACAUUGCCAGACAUUGCCACCAUAAAACAGUAACCAGAUACUAUACAAAAGGAACCUGUCAAAAACAACAACAAAAAAGAUCUUUUAUAAAGUAAAGAUGUGAAAACAGAAAUAAAAAAAACUCAAGAGGAAAACUGGAAGAUAAAAUUGAAGAAAUUGUCUGGAAAGUAGGCAAAAAGACAAAGGACUAAUGAAGAAGAUCCAGAAUAGCUAUAAUAGAAGAAGAGCAAAGACACAAACAACUUUAAGACAUUUUUCUAGGGUUAAGUUUUCGAAUUCAAAGUGCCCUAGUCUAAGUGCCCAGCACACUGGAUAAAAAUGAUAGUGCUGAGUUGCCUAGGUGGCUCAGUCAGUUAAGCAUAUGACUUCGGCUCAGGUGGUGACUCUCAGAGUCCUGGGAUCAAGCCCCAGUUCCAGCUCCAUGCUCAGCGGGGAGCCUGCUUCUCCUUUACCCCCUGACUCUACCCCUUGCUCAUGCUCUUGCUCCUUCUUUCUCAAAUAAAUAAAAUCUUUAAAAAAAUGAUCGCUCAACACUGAGGCACAUCAUUGUGAAGUUUGAGACUAUUGGAUGCAAAGAGAAGAUCAUAGACCUUUUAAAGAUAGGUGAGAAAAACAGAUCCAUGCCCAAAGAUUCAAGAAUCAAUAGUUUAGGACUUCUCUACCUUUACACAGAAAGUUGAAAGGCAGUGGGAGCAUUGUCUUCAAAAUACUAAGAUUGGAAGGUCAUUUCCAUCCAAGAAUUCUAUGCUCAACUAAGCCAUCAACUUCAGGGGAAUAAAGCCAUUUCGAGACAGGAAACAUCUCAAGAAGUUUACCUACUGUGCAUCAUUUCUCAUGACAGGAGAUUUUACUCUGCUAAACAAGAUAGGAAACCAAAAAAGAAGACACUUGAUAUAGGAAACAUGAAAUCCAAUCCAGAGGAAAAAGCAAGGAGGAUUCCCCAGGGUAAUAGUGAAGGAAGAACCCAGCACGGCUGCAGAGUAUCCUGAGUAAGAGGCAGCCACUGAGGAUUCAAGAUCAGAAGGCACUUGGACAGACCUCUGCAGGAAGAUGGCAUUGAUAGAACAUCUACUGCAUCUGAGAGACUUGUGGGGAAAUUUAGGCAAUUGUGAAAAGAUAGCUGAUUAGCGAAAAUUAUUUAGAAAACUAAAACAAGGAGUGCCUGUGUGGCUCAGUUGAAUAAGUGUCUGCCUUCGUCUCAGUCAUGAUCCCAGGCUCCUGGGAUCGAGACCCACAUGGGGCUCCCUGCUCGGGAGGAAGCCAGCUUCUCCCUCUCCAUCUGCCUACUGCUCCACCUGCUUGUGCACUCUCUCCUCUCUCUCUCAAAUAAGUAAAUGCAAUCUUUAAAAAAAUAAAACAAAACCAAUUUAGAAAACAGAGUUACGCAAGACAAAUUCAUCUGUGAAUAGUGUUUACAUGAUCUCAGUUACGAUAAAAAUUAAUGUAAUCAAAAUUAUGACAUAACGACAUCAGAAGGCUGGAACAAUUAGAAGGUGUUAUAGGUCAGGGAACAGGAAAAAGAGCAAAAUCCUCAGCUUCUAUGGCAGAAAGCAAAUCAGUAUUGCCUAAAACUUGAAAAAGCCAAGACAAAGAAUAACGACACAUGCAAUUUAGGGCAUGGAGGAAAAUGGUAUAGCAAUUGACUGUAGGAGGGGAAAGCAGUGGGAGUUUGGGGAACAGGGAGAAAUUAGAGGAGGGCAGUGGGGAAUUGCUAUUUUUCCUAACUUUGGUGGAACUGUCCGAUUCUCCCGUGCAUAUGAACUUUGAGCCCUUAAAAAAAAAUCAGAUGUUUUAUGAUAAUGUUGGUGAUUUGUGGCAAAAUAAGUUAUUUUAAAUAUUUUAAUUUUUUUCCUUUCCAUUCUUCUAUCCUGAAUAUAUGGAACAAAGAAGACAGUCUGCUAUGAUGUGUCCAUUUUCCAAUUGUUCUAUUCAGUCACAAGACUUGAAAAUCCAAAGAGAAUGCGAGAAAAUAAUAAAAUGUAGAGGUGUGGGGCAAAUGGACACUUCGCUAGGGAUUACUUGUUUCCGAGGAUCUGAAAGUGUUUCUAGAACUCUCUUUGCUGCCCUGCCUUCACAACCACCUAGUGACUGCUUAUAAUUCAAUCUUUACCUUCCCUGACAUGUUCUUCCCUCUGUUAUUUGCAUCUAUUUUAGAACCAUCUUUCAAUGCUUCUAUAAAUUGAAGCAAUUCUGGAUAAUUGAAGAACACUUACUUUAUCUGUUAUUCAGUCAUUAUCCUGUUUGGAGGCCUGAAUUGUGAAAAUCAUUAUAUGGAUUAAUUUUCCCACUUCGUAUUGCACAGGGAGAUCAUGUAAUAUUAAAGUGUGUCAGUCUGGAA